rnacentral:misc_RNA from 1 species
GAUGAAGAACGCAGCGAAAUGCGAUAAGUAAUGUGAAUUGCAGAAUUCAGUGAAUCAUCGAAUCUUUGAACGCACAUUGCGCCCCUUGGUAUUCCGAGGGGCAUGCCUGUUCGAGCGUCAUUAUCACCCCUCAAGCUUUGCUUGGUGUUGGGGCCUGCUGUAAUAGGCAGCCCUUAAAAUCAGUGGCGGUGCUUCAAGGCUCUAAGCGUAGUAAUUCUCCUCGCUAUAGUGUCUAGUGGUUGCCAGCCAGAACCCCCCAAUUUUCAUGAUUGACCUCGGAUCAGGUAGGGAUACCCGCUGAACUUAAGCAUAUCAAUAGCGGAGGA